rnacentral:rRNA from 1 species
GAGUUUGAUCCUGGCUCAGGAUGAACGCUAGCGGCAGGCUUAAUACAUGCAAGUCGUGGGGCAGCAGGGGUAGCAAUACCCGCUGGCGACCGGCAAACGGGUGCGGAACACGUACGCAACCUUCCUUUAACUGGAGAAUAGCCCCUCGAAAGAGGGAUUAAUACUCCGUAACAUAUAAAUGUGGCAUCACAAUUAUAUUAUAGCUCCGGCGGUUAAAGAUGGGCGCGCGCCUGAUUAGAUAGUUGGCGGGGUAACGGCCCACCAAGUCUGCGAUCAGUAACUGGUGUGAGAGCACGACCAGUCACACGGGCACUGAGACACGGGCCCGACUCCUACGGGAGGCAGCAGUAAGGAAUAUUGGUCAAUGGACGCAAGUCUGAACCAGCCAUGCCGCGUGGAGGAUUAAGGCCCUCUGGGUUGUAAACUCCUUUUAUCUGGGAAGAAAUGCAUUUUUUUUAAAGCUGCUUGCACGGUACCAGAGGAAUAAGCACCGGCUAACUCCAGUGCCAGCAGCC